UUUUCCAUAACUCUGAGGUGCGAAGUGGUUCUGACCUUUUGGUACAGAGAAGUCAUUGAUGCCCGGCUUCCAGGAAAAGCUGCUAGCCAUAACUUAUAGAGAACCGUACCGCAAACCGACACAGGUGGACAGGUAGAGAAUACUAAGGCGCUUGAGAGAACUCGGGUGAAGGAACUAGGCAAAAUGGUACCGUAACUUCGGGAGAAGGUACGCCCUUUCUGGUGAUGGGAUUUACUUUCAGAGCUGGAGAGGGCCGCAGAGACCAGGUGGCUGCGACUGUUUAUUAAAAACACAGCACUCUGCAAAUUCGUAAGAAGACGUAUAGGGUGUGACGCCUGCCCGGUGCCGGAAGGUUAAUUGAUGGGGUUAUCUUCGGAGAAGCUCUUGAUCGAAGCCCCGGUAAACGGCGGCCGUAACUAUAACGGUCCUAAGGUAGCGAAAUUCCUUGUCGGGUAAGUUCCGACCUGCACGAAUGGCGUAACGAUGGCCACACUGUCUCCACCCGAGACUCAGUGAAAUUGAAAUCGCUGUGAAGAUGCAGUGUACCCGCGGCUAGACGGAAAGACCCCGUGAACCUUUACUAUAGUUUUGCACUGGACUUUGAUGAUGACUGUGUAGGAUAGGUGGGAGGCUGUGAAGUGAGGACGCUAGUUCUCAUGGAGCCGCCCUUGAAAUACCACCCUGUUGUUAUUGAGGUUCUAACUUGGUCCAGUAAUCCUGGAUGAGGACAGUGUAUGAUGGGUAGUUUGACUGGGGCGGUCUCCUCCCAAAGAGUAACGGAGGAGCACAAAGGUACCCUCGGUACGGUCGGACAUCGUACCAAGAGUGUAAAGGCAAAAGGGUGCUUGACUGCGAGAGUGACGGCUCGAGCAGGAACGAAAGUUGGUCUUAGUGAUCCGGUGGUUCUGAAUGGAAGGGCCAUCGCUCAACGGAUAAAAGGUACUCCGGGGAUAACAGGCUGAUACCGCCCAAGAGUUCAUAUCGACGGCGGUGUUUGGCACCUCGAUGUCGGCUCAUCACAUCCUGGGGCUGAAGCAGGUCCCAAGGGUAUGGCUGUUCGCCAUUUAAAGUGGUACGCGAGCUGGGUUUAGAACGUCGUGAGACAGUUCGGUCCCUAUCUGCCGUGGGCGUAGGAAAAUUGAGAGGAGCUGCUCCUAGUACGAGAGGACCGGAGUGGACGAACCUCUGGUGCACCGGUUGUCACGCCAGUGGCAUGGCCGGGUAGCUAAGUUCGGACGGGAUAACCGCUGAAAGCAUCUAAGCGGGAAGCCUCCCUCAAGAUGAGUUUUCCCAUGAAGCCCGUUGAAGACUACGACGUUGAUAGGCAAGGUGUGGAAGCGCAGUAAUGCGUGAAGCUAACUUGUACUAAUUGGCUGAUUGUCUUGACCAUAUAAUCUGAG
rnacentral:rRNA from 1 species